CCUACGGGAGGCAGCAGUGGGGGAUAUUGCACAAUGGGGGAAACCCUGAUGCAGCGACGCCGCGUGGGUGAAGAAGCGCCUCGGCGCGUAAAGCCCUGUCAGCAGGGAAGAAAAUGACGGUACCUGAAGAAGAAGCCCCGGUUAACUAAGAGCCAGCAGCCGCGGUAAUAAGGAGGGGGCCAGCGUUAACCGGAUUUACGGGGUGUAAAGGGGGCGCAGGCGGGGAUGCAAGCCCGGGGUGAAAGCCCGGGGCCCAACCCCGGGAGUGCUCUUGGAACUGCGUGGCUAGAGUGCAGGAGGGGCAGGCGGAAUGCCUGGUGUAGCGGUGAAAUGCGUAGAGAUCAGGAGGAACUCCGGUGGCGAAGGCGGCCUGCUGGCCUGCAACUGACGUUGAGGCCCGAAAGCGUGGGGAGCAAACAGGAUUAGAUACCCGGGUAGUC
rnacentral:rRNA from 1 species